UUUAUGGAGAGUUUGAUCCUGGCUCAGAGUGAACGCUGGCGGCGUGCUUAACACAUGCAAGUCGCGCGGGAUUCUGCAGAGUAUCGCAGAGUCUAGCGGCAAACGGGUGAGUAACACGUAGGAAACCUCCCUCAAAAUGGGGAAUAUCUCCGAGAAAUCGGAGUUAAUACCGCAUAAAACCACAGUUUGGCAUCAAACUAGGGGUUAAAGCAGUAAUGCGUUUUGAGAUGGUCCUGCGGCCUAUCAGCUAGUUGGUAGGGUAACGGCCUACCAAGGCUAUGACGGGUAUCCGGCCUGAAAGGGUGAACGGACACACUGGAACUGAGACACGGUCCAGACUCCUACGGGAGGCAGCAGUGGGGAAUUUUGGACAAUGGGGGAAACCCU
rnacentral:rRNA from 1 species